ensembl:lncRNA novel transcript
GGGGCGGAACUAGGAGUGCGCAGAUGUGGGCCAGAGCGGAUUUCCCCUUCCCCAGGCAAAUUCGGCGCCCACUGCGUCCCCGCAGGCCACUGACCUUAGAGGACUACUUGCCCGAGACUCGUGGGGCUGGAUGGGAAUCGUAGUCUUCCUAGGAGUUGUAGGUAUCUUUUUUUGGCCUAGUCUCUGCUCUCAAGAUAGGAGAACAUAACAACACUCCAAUCCAUUACUGUUGACAUGUAUAAGCCCGCGGAGGUCUCCAAUCUAUCCACUGGAUUUCCGUGAGAAUUGUGCCCGCUUUGGUAUUGGAUGUUCCUCUCCAUAAGACUACAGUUUCCAAGGAACAGUGUGGCCAAGGCCUUUCGUUCCGCAAUGCAUGUUGGAAAUAGUAGUUCUUUCCCUCCACCUCCCAACAAUCCUUUUAUUUACCUAAACUGGAGACCUCCAUUAGGGCGGAAAGAGUGGGGUAAUGGGACCUCUUCUUAAGACUGCUUUGGACACUAUCUUACGCUGAUAUUCAGGCCUCAGGUGGCGAUUCUGACCUUGGUACAGCAAUUACUGUGACGUAAUAAGCCGCAACUGGAAGCGUAGAGGCGAGAGGGCGGGCGCUUUACGGCGAACUCAGGUAGAAUUCUUCCUUUUCCGUCUCUUUCUUUUUAUGUCACCAGGGGAGGACUGGGUGGCCAACCCAGAGCCCCGAGAGAUGCUAGGCUCUUUCUGUCCCGCCCUUCCUCUGACUGUGUCUUGAUUUCCUAUUCUGAGAGGCUAUUGCUCAGCGGUUUCCGUGGCAACAGUAAAGCGUGGGAAUUACAGAUAAAUUAAAACUGUGGAACCCCUUUCCUCGGCUGCCGCCAAGGUGUUCGGUCCUUCCGAGGAAGCUAAGGCCGCGUUGGGGUGAGACCCUCACUUCAUCCGCUCGAUUUCUUGGUUCCCUGACUGGGAAGCGAGGUGAAUGGCGGAUGGUCAAGGCAGCUCCUUAGGCGGCUUAAACCUGCCCUGUGGAACAUCCCUGCAGGGGACUCCAACCAGCCCGAGCAACACGGAUCCUGAGGGCGCUCCUGGUUAGGCAUUUGCCCCACUGGGACGCCUCGCCAGAGCACUGUAUGGCAGGCCCCCAUGGAGGAUCAACGCAGUGGCUGAACACCGGGAAGGAACGGGCACUUGGAGUCUGGACAUCUAAAACUUGGUAAGAGUAGUCUUUGAAACUUGCCCACUCCAUUUGAGUGGAAGCAUGGCCUGAUCACCCAUGGCGUGCCUUUAUUGGCACUUUGGUUUUGGUUUGAAUUGCUUGACAGGAUUGGUCUUGGGAACUUGCCUACUCCAUUUGAGUGGAAGUGUGGCCUGAUCACCCAUGGUGUGCCUCUCCUGGCACUUUGGUUUUUAUUUUUGACUUGACUUGGAUUGCUUGAUACUUUGGUUUUGGUUUUGACCUGGCUUGGAUUUCUGGAUACUCUGAUUUUGGUUUGGUGCAAACUGCAAAACUGUGUGUGCGCCCUUUUUACCGGUUCUUUGUUUUGUGGUGUGUUUGUGGUGUGAGCGUGGUGUUUUGUCUUGAAGAAGCAUAGGUCAGGCACGAAUAAGCCCACCCCACUAGGAACUAUGUUGACAAAUUUCAAAAAAGAAUCUGAGGGAGACUAUGGAGUGCUAUGACACCAGGAAAACUUAAAACUUUGUGUAAGAUAGACUGGCCAGCAUUAGAGGUAGGUUGGCCAUUAGAAGGAAGCCUGGACAGGUCCCUUGUUUCAAAGGUAUGGCACAAGGUAACCUAUAAGCCAAGGAACCCAGACCAGUUCCCUUACAGAGACACUUGAUUAGAGCUGGUUUUAGACCCCCCACCCCCAACACAUAGUGGUUGAGAGAACAGCAGCAUAAGUGGCUGGCAGAGGCAAGGAAAGACCAGCAGAGAGAGAGAAAGGAAAGAGACAGAGAGGAAAAGAGGAAAAGAGAGAGAGGAAGAGACAGGAAGAGACAGACAGAGAGUCAAGGAU